rnacentral:rRNA from 1 species
AGAGAAUAGAUACCCUGGUAGUCCUAGCUGUAAACGGUGCACGUUUGCUGUAAAAGGAAUCGACCCCUUUUGUGGCGAAAGCUAAACGCGAUAAACGUGCCGCCUGGGGAGUACGGUCGCAAGAUUAAAACUCAAAGAAAUUGACGGGGGCCUGCACAAGCGGUGGAGUAUGUGGCUUAAAUUCGAUGCAACGCGAAGAACCUUACCUGGCCUUGACAUGCACGUAGUAGAAGCGUGAAAGCGUAACGAACCCGCAAGGGUAGCGUGCACAGGUGCUGCAUGGCUGUCGUCAGCUCGUGUCGUGAGAUGUUGGGUUAAGUCCCGCAGCGAGCGCAACCCUUGUGUCCUGUUGCCACUCAAUCGAGAGAUUGGAGCACUCUGGACAGACUGCCUCGCUUAAACGAGGAGGAAGGUGGGAUGACGUCAAGUCAGGAUGGCCCUUACGGCCAGGGCUGCACACGUACUACAAUGCCCGGUACAAAGGGAAGCAAGACCGAUAGGUGGAGCAAAUCCCAAAAAACCGGGCUCAGUUCA